UACGUAGGGUGCGAGCGUUGUCCGGAAUUAUUGGGCGUAAAGGGCUCGUAGGCGGUUUGUCGCGUCGGGAGUGAAAACCCAGGGCUUAACCCUGGGCUGGCUUCCGAUACGGGCAGACUAGAGGUAUGCAGGGGAGAACGGAAUUCCUGGUGUAGCGGUGAAAUGCGCAGAUAUCAGGAGGAACACCAGUGGCGAAGGCGGCGAUCUGGGAAGAUACUGACGCUGAGGUGCGAAAGCGUGGGGAGCAAACAGG
rnacentral:rRNA from 1 species